UCUUCGGUCAUUUAGAGGAAGUAAAAGUCGUAACAAGGUUUCCGUAGGUGAACCUGCGGAAGGAUCAUUACCGAAUUGUCAAACGGGUUGUUGCUGGUCCUUGAAAGGGGACAUGUGCACGUUCUGUUUACACAUCCACUCACACCUGUGCACCCUCCGUAGUUCUAUGGUCUGGGAGACCUUGUCUUCCUGCCGUGGUUCUACAUCUUUACACACACACUGUAACAAAGUCUUAAGGAAUGUAUGCAGCGUCUAACGCAAUACAAUACAACUUUCAGCAACGGAUCUCUUGGCUCUCGCAUCGAUGAAGAACGCAGCGAAAUGCGAUAAGUAAUGUGAAUUGCAGAAUUCAGUGAAUCAUCGAAUCUUUGAACGCAUCUUGCGCUCCUUGGUAUUCCGAGGAGCAUGCCUGUUUGAGUGUCAUUUGAACCUUCUCAAGCCCCCCCUGCUCUCUUUAGAAGAGUGGUGGCUUGGAAAAUGGGGGAAGGUUUGCAGGACCGCAAAGUCCUGCUCCCCUGAAACGCAUCAGCGGUGUCUUGGCAGACGACCAGGGUGUGAUACAAACAUCAGCGCCAUGGGGCUGCAGAUUUUGCCACCGCUUUUCCAAUCUUUUGACCAACUUGACCUCAAAUCAGGUAGGACUACCCGCUGAACUUAAGCAUAUCAAUAAGCGGAGGAC
rnacentral:rRNA from 1 species